GGGGCUGCUGGCUGCCAUGGCCGGCAGUCUCUCAAGUCUGGUGGCGCAGCUUAUGGGCUGCCACGAGGCAGAAAUCGUGUCUCACACGUUCCUCGUAUGUGCUUCACUUCUUGGCAUGCAGCCAGCACUCAGCCCUACUUCCAGAUUUAACAGGAAGACUUGUUGAAUCGGCUUUGGGGAAGGAAAGGAUCAGGCACUUGAGGGUGGGAGGAGAGCAUCCCGCAGGGUGGACGACGUUGAACUUGGCUGUCUCUGCAAAGAGAAACAUGUCCAGUGCAAAAACUCUCCAGUUGCUGGCUAUGACUUUGCAUCUCUCUGUUGAAUGUUUUUUCUCCUCAAAAUUAAAUGACGGAGUCAUUGUGCACUUGGA